GGGUGUGAGGAGGGUGUUCGAGUUGGUUUGUCCUCCCUCACUGCUCCAUGUGUGUCUCUCCAGAGUAAUUGUGUUGUCCGAGAGGAUGGUCUUCUCUGAUAACUAGAGGAGGACUGAUCUUGGUCAAGGUGCAGCAUAGUGUCUGCACUGCCCUGCCAGAGCCUCAGCAUGCUUUCAGGAAUGUUAAAGAAGGGGGCGAUGGAGAAGAAAUGGCUCUUUUCUGCCGCUGUCCCGCAGCACCAUUCUCU
ensembl:misc_RNA 7SK 7SK RNA